GACAACGCAAACACGCCUUCCUGCUACGGAUAGCCAUGAAAUAGCAGCAGUCAUCUCAGAUAAUUACCUGAGGUCUCCUUCAAAGGGUGAAAUCAAUUUUAUAAUCUUGUGCCAGACAGACAGAGAGGUGAAGCACUGAGAGAGGUGGAGGGGGAUGAGAUGAAGAGUAUAUUCCAGAGAGCUUAAGGGCAUUUCACAAUGUUAAAGAGGUAGGAUUUCAAUUACAGAAUAUGUGUGUAUGUGUGUGUGUUCACAUGACAUA